UGGGGAAUCUUGGACAAUGGGGGCAACCCUGAUCCAGCCAUGCCGCGUGAGUGAUGAAGGCCUUAGGGUCGUAAAGCUCUUUCGCCUGUGAAGAUAAUGACGGUAGCAGGUAAAGAAACCCCGGCUAACUCCGUGCCAGCAGCCGCGGUAAUACGGAGGGGGUUAGCGUUGUUCGGAAUUACUGGGCGUAAAGCGCACGUAGGCGGACCAGAAAGUUGGGGGUGAAAUCCCGGGGCUCAACCCCGGAACUGCCUCCAAAACUAUUGGUCUAGAGUUCGAGAGAGGUGAGUGGAAUUCCAAGUGUAGAGGUGAAAUUCGUAGAUAUUUGGAGGAACACCAGUGGCGAAGGCGGCUCACUGGCUCGAUACUGACGCUGAGGUGCGAAAGUGUGGGGAGCAAAACAGGAUUAGAUACCCUGGUAGUCCCACACCGUAAAACGAUGAAUGCCAGUCGUCGGGUAGCAUGCUAUUCGGUGACACACCUAACGGAUUAAGCAUUCCGCCUGGGGAGUACGGUCGCAAGAUU
rnacentral:rRNA from 1 species